GACAGAGGAUGCAAGCGUUAUCCGGAAUUAUUGGGCGUAAAGAGCUCGUAGGCGGUUUGUCGCGUCUGCCGUGAAAGUCCGGGGCUCAACUCCGGAUCUGCGGUGGGUACGGGCAGACUAGAGUGAUGUAGGGGAGACUGGAAUUCCUGGUGUAGCGGUGAAAUGCGCAGAUAUCAGGAGGAACACCGAUGGCGAAGGCAGGUCUCUGGGCAUUAACUGACGCUGAGGAGCGAAAGCAUGGGGAGCGAACAGG
rnacentral:rRNA from 1 species